rnacentral:snRNA from 1 species
AUCGCUUCUCGGCUCUCUGAGCUAAGAUCAAAGUGUAGUAUCUGUUCUUAUCAGCUUAAUAUCUGAUACAAUCCUCAAGGAGGAUUCAGAAUAUUAAACUUGUUUUUGGAACUGGGCGGGUGCUCGGAGCUUGCUCCGACUCUGUCGCGGGUCGAUUCGGCAUUGCAGUACCGUCGAAUUCGGCCCAGUAAUU